rnacentral:rRNA from 1 species
CCUACGGGUGGCUGCAGUGGGGAAUAUUGCACAAUGGGCGAAAGUCUGAUGCAGCGACGCCGCGUGAGUGAAGAAGGAAUUCGGUAUGUAAAGCUCUAUUAGCAGGGAAGAAAAUGACGGUACCUGAGUAAGAAGACCCGGCUAACUACGCGCCAGCAGCCGCGGUAAUACGUAGGGGGCAAGCGUUAUACGGAUUUAUUGGGUGUAAAGGGAGCGUAGACGGCAGUGCAAGUCUGGAGUGAAAGGCGGGGGCUCAACCCCCGGACUGCUCUGGAAACUAUACGGCUGGAGUGCAGGAGAGGUAAGUGGAAUUCCUAGUGUAGCGGUGAAAUGCGUAGAUAUUAGGAGGAACACCAGUGGCGAAGGCGGCUUACUGGACUGUAACUGACGUUGAGGCUCGAAAGCGUGGGGAGCAAACAGGAUUAGAUACCCGUGUAGUC